UACGAAGGGGGCUAGCGUUGCUCGGAAUCACUGGGCGUAAAGGGUGCGUAGGUGGAUAAGUAAGUCAGUGGUGAAAUCUUCGGGCUUAACCCGGAAACUGCCAUUGAUACUAUUUGUCUUGAAUACUUUGGAGGUAAGCGGAAUAUGUCAUGUAGCGGUGAAAUGCUUAGAUAUGACAUAGAACACCAAUUGCGAAGGCAGCUUACUACACAGUAAUUGACACUGAGGCACGAAAGCGUGGGGAUCAAACAGG
rnacentral:rRNA from 1 species